rnacentral:rRNA from 1 species
CACAUGCAAGUCGAGGGGCAUCAGGAACAUAGCUUGCUUUCUUUGCUGGCGACCGGCGCACGGGUGAGUAACACGUAUCCAACCUGCCCUUUACUCGGGGAUAGCCUUUCGAAAGAAAGAUUAAUACCCGAUAGCAUAAUGAUUCCGCAUGGUUUCAUUAUUAAAGGAUUCCGGUAAAGGAUGGGGAUGCGUUCCAUUAGGUUGUUGGUGGGGUAACGGCCCACCAAGCCUUCGAUGGAUAGGGGUUCUGAGAGGAAGGUCCCCCACAUUGGAACUGAGACACGGUCCAAACUCCUACGGGAGGCAGCAGUGAGGAAUAUUGGUCAAUGGGCGCUAGCCUGAACCAGCCAAGUAGCGUGAAGGAUGAAGGCUCUAUGGGUCGUAAACUUCUUUUAUAUAAGAAUAAAGUGCAGUAUGUAUACUGUUUUGUAUGUAUUAUAUGAAUAAGGAUCGGCUAACUCCGUGCCAGCAGCCGCGGUAAUACGGAGGAUCCGAGCGUUAUCCGGAUUUAUUGGGUUUAAAGGGAGCGUAGGUGGACUGGUAAGUCAGUUGUGAAAGUUUGCGGCUCAACCGUAAAAUUGCAGUUGAUACUGUCAGUCUUGAGUACAGUAGAGGUGGGCGGAAUUCGUGGUGUAGCGGUGAAAUGCUUAGAUAUCACGAAGAACUCCGAUUGCGAAGGCAGCUCACUGGACUGCAACUGACACUGAUGCUCGAAAGUGUGGGUAUCAAACAGGAUUAGAUACCCUGGUAGUCCACACAGUAAACGAUGAAUACUCGCUGUUUGCGAUAUACAGUAAGCGGCCAAGCGAAAGCAUUAAGUAUUCCACCUGGGGAGUACGCCGGCAACGGUGAAACUCAAAGGAAUCGACGGGGGCCCGCACAAGCGGAGGAACAUGUGGUUUAAUUCGAUGAUACGCGAGGAACCUUACCCGGGCUUAAAUUGCAGUGGAAUGAUGUGGAAACAUGUCAGUGAGCAAUCACCGCUGUGAAGGUGCUGCAUGGUUGUCGUCAGCUCGUGCCGUGAGGUGUCGGCUUAAGUGCCAUAACGAGCGCAACCCUUAUCUUUAGUUACUAACAGGUCAUGCUGAGGACUCUAGAGAGACUGCCGUCGUAAGAUGUGAGGAAGGUGGGGAUGACGUCAAAUCAGCACGGCCCUUACGUCCGGGGCUACACACGUGUUACAAUGGGGAGUACAGAAGGCAGCUAGCGGGUGACCGUAUGCUAAUCCCAAAAGCCUCUCUCAGUUCGGAUCGAAGUCUGCAACCCGACUUCGUGAAGCUGGAUUCGCUAGUAAUCGCGCAUCAGCCACGGCGCGGUGAAUACGUUCCCGGGCCUUGUAUACACCGCCCGUCAAGCCAUGGGAGCCGGGGGUACCUGAAGUACGUAACCGCAAGGAUCGUCCUAGGGUAAAACUGGUGACUGGGGCUAAGA